rnacentral:sRNA from 1 species
UCCAACUUGACAAAUAAAUGAAAUCCCUUAUUGUUAAAAAAAAGUACAAAUUGAAAAAUAGAUAAUUUUGGCCUCAAUUUCAAUUUUGGAUUUUGUACAUAGCCAUUAAGAAUAAUUUGGUCAAUUCAAUCUAUUAAAGUUUAUAUGAUCCACAUUUUUAAUUUCGGGUGGGUUAGGAAUAAUAGUCACUUAUUCACGAAUUCAAAUACCUAAUCAUGUUUAGCAUCCAAAGUAGACAAUCUUAACCGUUCAACAAUAUUGGUAUCACUACUUCAUUUUGGUAUCUAAAUAUGAGCAUAUUUCAUUCCAAAAAGAAUUAUAAUCACAAAAA